GCUAAACGCUGGCGGCGUGUCUUAGCCAUGCAAGUCGAGCGGACUUAUGGGGUAACUUAUAAGUCAGCGGCGGACGGCGGAGUAACACGUAGCUAACCUACCCUCUGGACGGGGGAUAACCUACCGAAAGGUGGGCUAAUACCCGAUGUAGUCAUCCUGUAUAGGGGUGAUGAAAGGUGGGCUUCUGUUUACAAGCUCAUGCUGGAGAGGGGGCUGCGGCCUAUCAGGUAGUUGGUAGGGUAAUAGCCUACCAAGCCGAUGACGGGUAGCCGGCCUGAGAGGGUGACCGGCCCGAGGGGCACUGAGAUACGGGUCCCACUCCUACGGGAGGCAGCAGGCUAGAAAUUUGGGCAAUGGGGGAAACCCUGACCCAGUGACGCCGCGUGCAGGAAGGAGCCCUUCGGGGUGUAAACUGCUGUCGUGUAGGGAGAAGGGUACUAAGGUGAACAAUCUUAGUACUUGACGGUACUACAGGAGGAAGCCCAGGCUAACCUCGUG
rnacentral:rRNA from 1 species